CGCGUAGGCGGACUUUCAAGUCAGAUGUGAAAACUGUCGGCUCAACCGGCAGCCUGCAUUUGAAACUGUUGGUCUUGAGUACAGGAGAGGAAAGCGGAAUUCCAGGUGUAGCGGUGAAAUGCGUAGAUAUCUGGAAGAACACCGGUUGCGAAGGCGGCUUUCUGGACUGAUACUGACGCUGAAGCGCGAAGGCUUGGGUAGCAAACA
rnacentral:rRNA from 1 species